AAUCUGGUGGUUGUGGAGACGGGAUUUGUUGGUGGGUGUUCCUUGAGUGUAUGGAGCAGUCCUUUUGAUGGAGUCUUUAAUUUUGGGCGAAGUUUCUGGAAACCCAUCCUUUCACCAUCCCAAUUACUCUAAAGCUCGAGUCUCUGAAGCAUUUGAGAAAAAGCACAAAUUCAACAGCAGAGAAAAAGAGAGGUCGUGCAUACAAGCAAGAACAAGCAGUCUAAAUGGCAGAAUUCUUAGCCAGGUGUGGUGGUGUGUACCUGCAGUCCCAGCUACUUGAGAGGCCAAAGUGGGAGGAUUGCUUGAGCCCAGGAGUUCGAGGCUACAAUGAGCUGUGAUGGCAUGACUGCAUUCCAACCUGGGCAACAGAGUGAGACCCCAUCUCUUAAAAUAAAUAAAUACAUAAUAAAUGGCAGAAUUUUGGGAUUAAAAAAUAAGUUUAAAAUAAAAUGAUGAAAUUUAACA
rnacentral:lncRNA from 10 species